rnacentral:rRNA from 1 species
CCCUUAGAUGUCCUGGGCCGCACGCGCGCUACACUGACAUGUUCAACAAGUUUCUCCUAGUUCGACAGGACUGGGAAAUCUUUGAACGCAUGUCGUGAUAGGGAUAGAUCAUUGCAAUUAUUGAUCUUGAACGAGGAAUUCCUAGUAAACGCGAGUCAUCAGCUCGCAUUGAUUACGUCCCUGCCCUUUGUACACACCGCCCGUCGCACCUACCGAUUGAAUGUUUCGGUGAAGAUUCCGGAUAGGACUGAUUUGGUUUAUUUCAUUUCUGACCUAAAAGCUAUCUAAACCUCAACAUUUAGAGGAAGGUGAAGUCGUAACA